UUUCUUGUGGUUGUUAUGUCCCUCCAUUAGUCAUGUCUCAAGGUUUUAAAAUAAUAGCCUAGACACAGCACAGUCCUAUUGUGAGUUUUUGUUCCCCUUACCUGGAAUGCCUCACAUUGUAAGUCUAGACACUUUUGCAACCAAAUUAAGUCAAAUUGGAUUACAUAGUUCUCAAAAGUAAGAAAUGAAAACAAUAGAUUUAAUCUUCAAAUGGUUGAAUUGGUGUGUUCUUGUUCUACUUAUCAGCUAGUAUAGACCCUGAAAAUCAAUCUAAUGGAAGAUAGCAUUGAAAUUGUGAUUUUGAUUUGCCAAAGUAUAAAAGACUGUAUCAAUUUUUUCCUCUUUAUCCCAUUCAGAUCAGGAUUUCUCAGUCAGUAAUUGCAGUGAACCCAGAAGAAGAGGUGAUGAGGAGAGGAGAAGAUAUCAGUUAAGGAAUGAAAUAUAAGAGCCCAAGAAAUGGGUAACUAAUUUCACAACCACUAUGAAUAGUUAUUUUAUCCAAAAAGCAAUAAACUAUUAUUUAAAUGGCAGCUUAUGCAAGAAUUGAGAAGGUAUUAAUACAAAGAUAAGGAGAUUCCACCUUUGGUAGAAAAGAUAAUACCAGUAAGCCAAUAGAAUGAUGAAAUGAACUACAGGAAAAUGGAGAGUAUUAUCAGCAGAAGGGAUCUUUGAUGGAAAAUAGAGUAGGUUGCAUCACAGGGCACCUGAUGAAACUCGUAACCCAUCAGAAUGAAGCUCUGUUUUAAGAGAGAUUGUGGUAAAGGGAGAUGAGAUGAAGCGAUAGAACCAUGGAUUCAAGUAUGGGUUGAACUACCUAAUAGGACAACAUUUGUGAUGGUUACAAUGAAAUGUUUCACUGCAAGCCCUAAUUUUCUUCUAUAAAAUAAUUGCUUUCUGAUACUAAAGAGCAAAAAUUUCAUUGGUUGGUACUAAACUAUAUUUCUGGUGCCAACAUAAGAAAAAUAAGCUACCACAAAAUAAUUUGAAGUCCACUCUUUGAAGAUAAAGAAUUAUAAAGCCUACCACACUAUUAAAGAUGUUGUAACUGGUCCUUUGGGGGAAAUAGAACUUCACAUUUUGACAUAGUAUACCCAGAAACUCCAUUAUAUUUUUUCUUCAUCAGAAUUUGGUGCAUACCUGAUGUGGAAAAGAUUUAAUUUUUAAAUAAUCUUUCAUGUGUCCCGUACAAGAAUGCUGAGGCAAAUAUUCAGGGAGAGGAGCUAGAUGAUGAGAAGGACUCUGAAGGGAGUAGAAAACAGAAGAUAGUCUUGGGAGGGUAAACUAGGGAUUGUUACAUCUACAUUAUUGGAAUUAAGUUCUCAGUUGAAAAAUUUGUAUACAUUAAUUGCUUAUCAUAUCGGUUCUAGAAAUAAUUGCAUUGGACUCGGGAGAUACAAAUAUAAAAAGAGCAGCAUUUCCUCUGCCCUGUAGAACCCAAAAUCUCUCAUUCAGGGUCAACUUAUUUCACUCCUAUAUUAGUCAGGGAUCAUGUGGUUGCAAAAAACAGAAAUAUACUCAAGUCUCUUAGGCAAAGAGAAUUAGUAGGAUUAGAAUCCUGAAAAUAGGAACAUCCAAAUAUCUCUCUCUCUUCUCCCCCUAACUCUACUCUUUUAUUCAUAGAGUGACUACAACUGCUUUCCUGAUAUUAGGGCCUUAGCUUUUGAAGCAAGACUUUAUAGUCGUAGCACCUGUUGCUUAGUCCCUUUGCACCCAAUUCCAAGUCAAUGAGAAAGAGACUCUAAUAGAAACAAUUCAGAUAAGAUAUUGAUUCCUGAAGUAAACAAAUAUUAUUGAGCAUAUACUAUGUGCUAGACACUAUUCAAGACCCUGGAGCUCCACAGUGGACAACAUUGAUAUCUCAUGUGCUUAUAUUUAGUAUCAGGAUAGGGUAGGGUGCAGCACGGAUAAUAAAGAGUGAGUUUUAUAAUGGUUGCUCAAGGAUGAUAAGUAUUAGAUAUCUGACAAAGCAUCUCUGAGAAGGUGAGAGUUGAGCAGGAGCCCUAAGAAAGCAAGAGAACCAGCCAUGAGAAUACGUGGGAGAAGAUCCUUUUGGUGAAGGGCCAGCAAGUGUAGGAGCCCUGAAAUGGGGCCAGUAAGAUCCCUGAGACUGAAGCAGACUAAGCAACAAAAGAGUGGCCUGCAAAGAGGUCCAAGGUGGAACUUUGGGUGGGAGGGUGUCAAGACCCAACUUUUAUCAUACAGUGAAGUUUGCCCAAGAUCAUCCAGCCUGUAAGUAGCAGAUCCAAGAUUCAAGCCCAAGCAGUUUGGUACCAGAGUCGAAGUUCUUAAUUACCAUUUGACUCCCUUUAAUUAUGAUGCAGGGUCUCAUAAUGAGAUUUUCAGGAAAGUUUUCAGAUAGUCUAAAACUUCAUCCAUUCUUCCAAAUAUAUUGGGCUUGCACUCUGAAGGCAAUGAUAGAAAAUCUAGCAGUUGGGGCCUUUUUUAAAAAAAAAUUAUUUAUUUAUUUAUUUAUUUAUUUAUUUAUUUAUGACACAGAAAGAGGCAGAGACAUAGGCAGAGGGAGAAGCAGGCUUCCCACAGGGAGCCUGAUGCAGGACUCGAUCCCAGGAUCCUGGGGUCAUGACCUGAGGCAGACAAUCGCUGAGCCAGCCAGGUGCCCCGAGCUGGGGCCUAUUUCAUCAUCAAAAGACACAUGUACCUUUGCUACGACAACUCCAUUCAGUUAAUUUGCCAUUGAAAGUCCUAGUUUCAUUUGUCAAAUAUCCAUAGUACUAUUCAGAACAGGUUCUUCUCUUGCUGUUCAGUUACUUUCCCUAUACCUUCCAAAAGCAGCAUGUAGAUUACCUUUUUUAAGCAAGAAGGGGAAAAGCCACUUAACCAGAAUCACAUAGCAAAGUAGGGACUAUGCUGGCAACAGCAUUUCAGAAAUGGUGCAAGAAAGUAAACUGCAAAUGGAUGGCUUCUGUGAGACUGCUCCACUUGCAGGAAUCUCUAAAGUAUAUCAACAAAAUAGGAACCUACUUUCUUUAGAACAGAGUCAUUGUCAAAGUGUGUGUCCUUUGUUCAAGAGUGAAUGUGUUUACAUGAUGCAUGCUCAGAGUAAAAGAAUGCACAGCAUAGAAAGCAGAGCACACAAGAAACCAAUUCUUUCCUUCAAAUUGUAAGACACCUUGAUGGACUGAUUCCAAUUGACCAGAAGCCUUGAUUUACUAAAAUUGCAGCCUUGUGUCUGUUUGUAUGAAGAAGAAUCAGAAUCAGAAUCAGAAUCAGAUAACAUGGCAACAUCUUUAUUUUACUUUUUAUUUUAUUAUCAAUAACUCCAACCCUAAUUAGGGUGUCACGCACUUGCAGAUUCAGCCCCAUUUACUUCAACAGCAGGACUAAAUGUUUAGAAUUCAUAUUUAACUGGAUUCAUUUGUUCACCUCAAAAAUAUUGUUUGAGUACUUACUACAUGUCAGGCACCAUCCUAGGCCCUGAAGACACAACUUUGAAUGUCCUAAAGGCCCUUCUCUCAUGAAGCUUACAUUGAAGGGAGAUAGACAAAAAAUAAACAAGUCAAUAUAUAACAUAUUGGUUAGUGAUACAUGCUGCAAGUGAAAAAAGCAAAGCAGUGCAAGGGUGAAAGGCUAAGGGGAGAGUGGGAGUGAUUUUUUUUAAUCAAGUGUGGUCAUGGGAGGGCUCUCUGAUUAGGUGAAAGCUGAGCAAAGAUCUGGUCUAGACUAUGACCUGAUGAUAGAAAAAGUUGCAUUUAGUUGCCAUAUUCUGUUAAGCCAAGGAAAAAGAUGGAUGCAUUUCAAGAACUGUUUUGGCAAGAUUUUUAAAGAAAACAUUAACCCUCAGCUAAUUAGAAAAUCCAAUUAACCAGAAUUCCUCCUCAUCCUAUUUCCUAGGCAUUGCGGUUAUAAGAAAGCAGCAAUAUAUACAUUUAACUAUCCUUAG
rnacentral:lncRNA from 1 species